rnacentral:rRNA from 1 species
UACAGAGGGUGCAAGCGUUAAUCGGAGUUACUGGGCGUAAAGGGCGCGUAGGCGGAUAUUUAAGUUGGAUGUGAAAUCCCUGGGCUUAACCUAGGAAUUGCAUACAAAACUGGAUAUCUGGAGUAUUGUAGAGGGCAGUGGAAUUUCCGGUGUAGCGGUGAAAUGCGUAGAGAUCGGAGGGAACACCAGUGGCGAAGGCGACUGCCUGGACAAAUACUGACGCUGAGGCGCGAGAGCGUGGGGAGCAAACAG